UAAACUGCUUCAACCCUCAUAUCUAUCCAA
rnacentral:piRNA from 1 species